GACAGAGGUGCCGAGCGUUAGGCGGAAUCACUGGGCUUAAAGCGUGUGUAGGCGGACCGUUAAGUACCUUGUGAAAUCCCCCGGCUCAACCGGGGAACGGCUGGGUAUACUGGCGGUCUUGAGCCAUCCAGGGGCGGUCGGAACAGACGGUGGAGCGGUGAAAUGCGUAGAUAUCGUCUGGAACGCCGAAGGUGAAAACAGACUGCUGGGGAUGCGCUGACGCUGAGACACGAAAGCCAGGGGAGCGAACGGG
rnacentral:rRNA from 1 species